NNNNNNNNNNNNNNNNNNNNNNNNNNNNNNNNNNNNNNNNNNNNNNNNNNNNNNNNNNNNNNNGGGACACGGGGACACCGACACGGGGAUGCACGGACACGGAGACACACGGGGACACGGGGACACCGACACCGGGACACACGGACACGGGGGGACACGGGGACACACACGGACACAGGGACAUGGGGACACACACGGCAACGGACAUGGGGAUACACCGACACAGAGACACAUGGAGACACACGGAUGUGGGGACACACGGACACGGACAUGGGGAUACACACCAACACGGGGACACACAGACGUGGGGACACACGGACACAGACAUGGGGAUACACAGACACGGGGACACACACGGACACGGGGACACACGGACACACACAGACACACACAGACACGGAGACACCAACACGGGGACACACGGAGACACACACGGCCACGGAGACACACACGGACACAGGGGGACACGGGGACACACACGGACACAGGGACACACGGAUGUGGGGACACACGGCCACAGGGACACACACGGCCACGGACAUCGGGAUACACUGACACGGAGACACAUGGAGACACACGGAUGUGGGGACACACGGACAUGGGGAUACAGACCGACACGGGGACACACAGACACGGACGUGGGGAUACACACCGACACAGGGACACAUGGAGACACACGGAUGUGGGGACACACGGACACGGACAUGGGGAUACACAGACACGGGGACACACACGGACACGGGGACACACGGACACACACAGACACACACAGACACGGAGACACCAACACGGGGACACACAGACACGGGGACACACAUGGACACGGACGUGGGGAUACACACCGACACGGAGACACACGGAGACACACGGAUGUGGGGACACACGGACACGGACAUGGGGAUACAGGGACACGGAGACACACAGAGACACACAGACAUGGGGAUACCGGACACGGAGACACACGGCCACGGGGACACAUGGACACGUACAUGGGGAUACACUGAUGCGGAGACACAUAUGGACAGGAGGACACAUGGGGAAACACGGACAUGGGGGCACACGGACAUGGGGAUACACUGACACAGGGACACACGGAGAUACACGGACGUGGAGACACAUGGACACGGACACGGAGACACAUAUGGACAUGGGGACAUGGACAUGUGCAUGGGGAUACACUGACACAGGGACACACGGAGACACCCAUGACAAGGGGACACACGGACACGGGGACAGAUGGACAAACACGGACACAAAGACACAUGGACACGGAGACACAUAUGGACACAGGCACAUGGACAUGGGGAUGGACGGACACACAGACGGGCACAGAGACACAUAUGGAGAUGGGGACACGGACACAGGGACACACGGACACAGGGACACACAGACAUGCUCACACACACAGAGACACAGACGCACACAGACGCAGACACGGAGGCAUGGACACGGGGACACACGGACACACACAGGGACACAUGGACAUAGACACACACAGAGACGGGCACGGACACACACACACAGACGCGGACACACAUGGGGACACACGGACACAGACACAAACGGACACGUGCACACACAGCCACACAUGAACGUGCACACACACACACACACACACAGGGACACGGACACACAGACACACGCACGGACACGGAGCCACGCAGACACCCGGGCACGCACACCCGGGCACGCACACCCGGACACGCACACCCCACCGGCAGACUGCGGGGCGUGAAGACGCGGGUUGG
ensembl:lncRNA